rnacentral:lncRNA from 1 species
ACAAGGGUCAGCGUGGGGGUGCCUAUGGGUUCCGGGUAGCCAGCCUCAACAAGAUUGCUGACACCAAGUCUAGCAUUGACAGGAACAUCUCUCUACUUCAUUACCUGAUCAUGAUCCUGGAGAAGCACUUCCCGGAUAUCCUGAACAUGCCCUCAGAGCUGCUGCAUCUAUCCAAGGCCGCCAAGGUCAAGUAAGCAGUUCCCAGGAGUUGGAAUAUCAGAGACAGCAGGCACGGGACCCCAAUGACAAGUUCGUCCCUGUCAUGAGUGACUUCAUCACCGUGUCUAGCUUCAGCUUCUCCGAGCUGGAGGAGCAGUUGAAUGAGGCCAGGGAUAAGUUCGCCAAGGCACUGGCACACUUUGGAGAACAGGUUCUUCCCAUCCACUCCUAUUGCCCCCACCUGGGGAGCUGUGACCACCUCCCCAGGACAUCGGCCAACCUUCAUGCCAAGGCUGCUCUCACCAGCUGCUGCAGGAGACAAACAAGGUUCAUAUGUACAAAACUCUACGGUGUCCUUUUUACCUGCACCCUUUUAUAAGAAUAUAUUGUAAUACUAAAAAAAAUAUUAAAUUCCUCCCCACCCCU